rnacentral:tRNA from 1 species
AAGCAAUUAGUUUAAAAAAAACCUUUGAUUUCGGCUCAAAAACUUGCAGUUAGAAUCCGCAAUUGCCUA